GAUCUUGGGCCAGCAUGGUUGAUCUACUUCAUAUAGUGUGCUAUUCUACAAAGCUAUGGACCAUCAAACAAAUCACAAACUAUAUGCAUUCUCGAACAUUAGAAGAGCACUUGCGCUAUAGACUUAACGGUAGCCAAACAAACCUUGUAGCCAAGCUCUAAUCUCAUCCUCAUCCUCCUCCUACUCAAGACUCCUCUAGUAGGAAGAUCGCCACAUGCUACCUUCCAAAGAAGCAAAGACACUCUCGGAUGGUGGCCCAAUUUCGAGAUCUAAGAUCCCUUAAUCCACUGAUCCAGCCAACUACUCUAGAGCUCAUGAAGGCCCUUUGCCUUAAUCUUCUGACCACAGUUGAAUGGAGGGAAUUUGAUAAAAGCGAGAGAAGUAAGACAUGUGAAGGAGAGUGAGAGACAUAGGGAGGAGCGGAGAGAGAGAUGGCAUGGGUUGAUGAGUGGAUCAAAUGGGGAGAAAAGUCUCAUUAGUUCGAGAUGAGGAUGGUGGGGGAAGAGAGAGAGAGAGAGGGAGAAGAAGGGGGGUGAUGGUGAGUUGGGACUCGGGAGAGCUCAAAAUCUAGUUUUGGAGAAAAAAAUAGAGAGAUAGAGGGGGUUGAGGAUGUGGAGAAAGAAAAGGAUGUUAUUCACGGACAUAGAAUAUGGUUUAAGUGGGAUCGGAUAAAGAGUCCAAUUAGUGUAGCAAAGGGGAGAGGAGAUAUAAUUAAAUAG
rnacentral:lncRNA from 1 species